UGGAGGCUGCUUCGCCACAGGGGAUCCAACUUCUCGCUUCGCCACCCCAGUCUCCACCUGCCCCAAUCUUCAGGCCGUCGUCCCCAACCCACCAGGAGAUCGGGGUCGACUUCGUCGCCGGCGACGGCGCCCUCGCGUUCGGCUCCGGCAUCAGGGGCCUGAACAUGUUAGGGUCGUUCGAGCUGGUCCUCCUCCCGCUCCUCGCGCUGCUCUUCCCCUCCCCCGCCCCCGCCAGUGUCGCCUCGCUGUGCCCGCUCGCGGCGACCUCCAACGCCUCCUCCCACACCUACGCCCGCCCCGUAUCCCACCUUCUUCGACGAUGUCGUCGACAAGUAUGGCUGGGACACCGACGCCCAGGUCCAGGUCUAGCCACUCGACGCCGAGGGCGCGCUCGUCGGCGCCGUGCAACGCUACGAGUUCCACGCCCACGCGAGGGGCACCGCGGUCGCGCUGGCGCGGGCCAACCGACGGGGCCGUCGAUUGGGGUCGCUCCGACGCCCCCACGGUGGAGGAGGUGGUCGGGCCCGACGGGGUCGACUUCGUCGCCGGCGAUGACGCCCUGGCGUUCGGCUCCGGGGUCACGGACCUAAACAUGGUAGGGCCGUUGGAGCUGGUGGUCUCCAAUGGCGCUGGCGAGGGCCUCGCAGAGCUCGAGUUGCUGUCGAUUUGCAGGUAAAUUUGUAAGGAUAUGCAACAAAAUUGAACAUCAACACCUUCAGUGUGUGAGGUGCGCGUGGAUGACCGAUAUGUGUGAAGUGCGUGAGGAUAGCUAUAUUCACAUUCUUCCAAUUUCGAGAGAGGAAGAUAACUCAGUAGUACUGCCAAUUUUGGCACGCAAUGUUCGUUUUUCAGAUUCACCAUGAUUGGUAAUGUUGUUUAGUACUGAAAACUUUGUCAUGGUUCAAUAAAUAGGCAGUUAAUUUUGUUGUUAGAAAGGCAAAGCAGUGCUACAAUAGCAUGGUUGAUUUUGGUUGCUAGAAGGAAAAGCAGUGCGACAAAUUUUAGAACUAGGAUGUUGUUUUUCACAGUUCAGUCAAGUAUUGCUUAUUUGCAUUGUACAAUCACAAUUCUAAGCUUAGGCUUCUUUUAGUUGUGUAGCAUUGUAGAACUGGGUCCUUUUUCCUAGCAGAUCAACACAUUUGGUCGGAUUUAGCUUAUUUGAUAAUGAGCAAACAAUAAAUGGUGUGAAUAUAUGCGGAGUCGAUGGAAAACAUUGAAGCCAGUAGUUGUAUACCUAUUUCGAAAAUCAGAAUUGGUUAGUAACAUUCUACAUCAUGGUAUUACGGUUUACAGUACUAAGCUUGAUGCUUUGUAUGGUUCUUUAAUACUAAGAUUAAUAGUGACGUUGCUGCUUGAGUUACUUUGGAUUUAACCUUGUUAUGCCAAUGACAUAUAUAGGUUUCUCGGUUUGCUGCGCUGCUCUUCACAGUCGUGCAGCUGGCCAUCGCCGCUAGGGAUUUGUCGUCCAAGGCAGUCAAUCCUUUCCUGUAAACUUGCAGAUGGAAAUCAUCAUUUUCUCUCAUGUUACUUUAGGAAACUUUGCUCUGUCAUGUAGCACUCAGUUUUUUAAAAACAUACUAUAUAUGUAGCCCUCAUCAACGUUGUGCUGGGCCAUGAGUGGGCUUCCUCGAUUAGCAAAAAAGAGGUGUCGAUGUGGGGGAUAAGUUUACAGUCAAUUGAGUUUGCUUACGAUUGGGCUUGAAAAAAAGGGUUCGUUUGUUUAAUAUAGUCUGCCCUUGCUCCCUUUACAUAUAUACCCAUGAGUUUAUAUAUGUCCUCGAGUUACACGGAGUAUCAACAAGCCUCAUCGGGUAUCAACGGGCAGAGGCUGAGGACUGGAUAACGAAGGAAUGGAAAUGGUGGGCUAAUUAAAUGGAAUUUGUGAAAUGCAUGAUUUAAGAAGUUGGUUGCAUGGAAAUUAUAUAUGUAAGAAAUUAUGCUUGAUUACUGCUGAAUGGCUCUCUCGGCAACAUGGGCCAGCAGAUCUCAUCACCAUGCCGCAGCCAAGAUGGAGCUGGGAGGGAAUUACUGAAAGAAUGUCCCAAACACAAAAUUCUAGAUUCUCUACUGAAGGCAUAUAGGUACACACAGAUCUUAGUUGGAAGACCAUCCGCCAUCGUCUCCGCCGACUUUUUGCCGGAAGACCAUCAGUCGUCACCUAGACCUACUUCGCCGCAGCCCAUUCAUUCGUCACCUGCCAUAGAGCAUAGUGCUCCUUGCUAUACGGCGGACCUGGUGAAACUGUGCAAAUAAUUAACAAACCAAACCCCACCUGGAUAGUGCUACAGAUUUGCUUAGUGGGCAGGAAUAACUGGAGUACUAUUUCUUCUUUAAGGGCGUAUUUCGGAGGGGAGCAUACACAUUACCUUGAUUGAGUUGAGUUUCGUGUUCUGCAUUACUGUUAUAAGUUACCAGCAGCAAAGAAAGAGAGUCAUGUACUAAUAGCUGAUAAGGUAGUCUGCUCUUGCAGAUCAUCUGGUUAUUCAUUUUCCCAUACAAGUGUUACUAAACUCUACUAAGUUCUAUAAUGACACAAGAUUAACUUGUUACAGGACAAGUGUACCGAGUAAUAGCAGCAAAGAAAGAGAGUCAUGUACUAAUAUCUGAUAAGGUAGUCUGCUCUUGCAGAUCAUCUGGUUGAUCAUUUUCCCAUACAAGUGUUACUACACUCUACAUUUGCGUAGAGUAAUAACACAAGAUUAACUUGUUACAGGACAAGUGUACAGAGUAAUGAGUAUGGACAGAAAAUUUGUUUCUUCGUCA